rnacentral:rRNA from 1 species
AGAGUUUGAUCCUGGCUCAGGAUGAACGCUGACGGCGUGCCUAAUACAUGCAAGUCGAGCGAACGGACGAGAAGCUUGCUUCUCUGAUGUUAGCGGCGGACGGGUGAGUAACACGUGGAUAACCUACCUAUAAGACUGGGAUAACUUCGGGAAACCGGAGCUAAUACCGGAUAAUAUUUUGAACCGCAUGGUUCAAAAGUGAAAGACGGUCUUGCUGUCACUUAUAGAUGGAUCCGCGCUGCAUUAGCUAGUUGGUAAGGUAACGGCUUACCAAGGCAACGAUGCAUAGCCGACCUGAGAGGGUGAUCGGCCACACUGGAACUGAGACACGGUCCAGACUCCUACGGGAGGCAGCAGUAGGGAAUCUUCCGCAAUGGGCGAAAGCCUGACGGAGCAACGCCGCGUGAGUGAUGAAGGUCUUCGGAUCGUAAAACUCUGUUAUUAGGGAAGAACAUAUGUGUAAGUAACUGUGCACAUCUUGACGGUACCUAAUCAGAAAGCCACGGCUAACUACGUGCCAGCAGCCGCGGUAAUACGUAGGUGGCAAGCGUUAUCCGGAAUUAUUGGGCGUAAAGCGCGCGUAGGCGGUUUUUUAAGUCUGAUGUGAAAGCCCACGGCUCAACCGUGGAGGGUCAUUGGAAACUGGAAAACUUGAGUGCAGAAGAGGAAAGUGGAAUUCCAUGUGUAGCGGUGAAAUGCGCAGAGAUAUGGAGGAACACCAGUGGCGAAGGCGACUUUCUGGUCUGUAACUGACGCUGAUGUGCGAAAGCGUGGGGAUCAAACAGGAUUAGAUACCCUGGUAGUCCACGCCGUAAACGAUGAGUGCUAAGUGUUAGGGGGUUUCCGCCCCUUAGUGCUGCAGCUAACGCAUUAAGCACUCCGCCUGGGGAGUACGACCGCAAGGUUGAAACUCAAAGGAAUUGACGGGGACCCGCACAAGCGGUGGAGCAUGUGGUUUAAUUCGAAGCAACGCGAAGAACCUUACCAAAUCUUGACAUCCUUUGACAACUCUAGAGAUAGAGCCUUCCCCUUCGGGGGACAAAGUGACAGGUGGUGCAUGGUUGUCGUCAGCUCGUGUCGUGAGAUGUUGGGUUAAGUCCCGCAACGAGCGCAACCCUUAAGCUUAGUUGCCAUCAUUAAGUUGGGCACUCUAAGUUGACUGCCGGUGACAAACCGGAGGAAGGUGGGGAUGACGUCAAAUCAUCAUGCCCCUUAUGAUUUGGGCUACACACGUGCUACAAUGGACAAUACAAAGGGCAGCGAAACCGCGAGGUCAAGCAAAUCCCAUAAAGUUGUUCUCAGUUCGGAUUGUAGUCUGCAACUCGACUACAUGAAGCUGGAAUCGCUAGUAAUCGUAGAUCAGCAUGCUACGGUGAAUACGUUCCCGGGUCUUGUACACACCGCCCGUCACACCACGAGAGUUUGUAACACCCGAAGCCGGUGGAGUAACCUUUUAGGAGCUAGCCGUCGAAGGUGGGACAAAUGAUUGGGGUGAAGUCGUAACAAGGUAGCCGUAUCGGAAGGUGCGGCUGGAUCACCU